AUUGAACGCUGGCGGAAUGCUUUACACAUGCAAGUCGAACGGCAGCACGGGGCAACCUGGUGGCGAGUGGCGAACGGGUGAGUAAUACAUCGGAACGUGCCCAAUCGUGGGGGAUAACGUAGCGAAAGUUACGCUAAUACCGCAUACGAUCUACGGAUGAAAGCGGGGGAUCGCAAGACCUCGCGCGAAUGGAGCGGCCGAUGUCAGAUUAGGUAGUUGGUGGGGUAAAGGCUCACCAAGCCGACGAUCUGUAGCUGGUCUGAGAGGACGACCAGCCACACUGGGACUGAGACCCGGCCCAGACUCCUACGGGAGGCAGCAGUGGGGAAUUUUGGACAAUGGGCGCAAGCCUGAUCCAGCCAUUCCGCGUGCAGGAUGAAGGCCUUCGGGUUGUAAACUGCUUUUGUACGGAACGAAACGGCGAGCUCUAAUACAGUUUGCUAAUGACGGUACCGUAAGAAUAAGCACCGGCUAACUACGUGCCAGCCGCCGCAGUAAAAC
rnacentral:rRNA from 1 species